rnacentral:tRNA from 1 species
GGGGCAGUAGCUCAGCGGGAGAGCACCUGCUUUGCACGCAGGGGGUCGGGGGUUCAAGUCCCCCCUGCUCCACCA